GGCUUUGUAGCAUAGUGGUUAAUGCGCUUGUCUCGUAAACAGGAGAGCGAUGGUUCGAAUACGUCCAAAGCCU